rnacentral:tRNA from 1 species
GCAGCCAUAGCUCAGUUGGAAGAGCGCGGGCCUGCGAAGCUCGAGGUCGCAGGUUCAAGCCCUGCUGGUUGCACCA